rnacentral:rRNA from 1 species
CCUACGGGGGGCUGCAGUGAGGAAUAUUGGUCAAUGGACGAGAGUCUGAACCAGCCAAGUAGCGUGAAGGAUGACCGCCCUAUGGGUUGUAAACUUCUUUUAUAUGGGAAUAAAACGUUCCACGUGUGGGAUUUUGUAUGUACCAUAUGAAUAAGGAUCGGCUAACUCCGUGCCAGCAGCCGCGGUAAUACGGAGGAUCCGAGCGUUAUCCGGAUUUAUUGGGUUUAAAGGGAGCGUAGGUGGAUUGUUAAGUCAGUUGUGAAAGUUUGCGGCUCAACCGUAAAAUUGCAGUUGAAACUGGCAGUCUUGAGUACAGUAGAGGUGGGCGGAAGUCGUGGUGUAGCGGUGAAAUGCUUAGAUAUCACGAAGAACUCCGAUUGCGAAGGCAGUUCACUGGACUGCAACUGACACUGAGGCUCGAAAGUGUGGGUAUCAAACAGGAUUAGAUACCCUGGUAGUC